GACGAACGCUGGCGGCGUGCUUAACACAUGCAAGUCGAACGGAAAGGCCCUGCUUUUGUGGGGUGCUCGAGUGGCGAACGGGUGAGUAACACGUGAGUAACCUGCCCUUGACUUUGGGAUAACUUCAGGAAACUGGGGCUAAUACCGGAUAGGAGCUCCUGCUGCAUGGUGGGGGUUGGAAAGUUUCGGCGGUUGGGGAUGGACUCGCGGCUUGUCAGCUUGUUGGUGGGGUAGUGGCUUACCAAGGCUUUGACGGGUAGCCGGCCUGAGAGGGUGACCGGCCACAUUGGGACUGGGAUACGGCCCAGACUCCUACGGGAGGCAGCAGUGGGGAAUAUUGCACAAUGGGCGGAAGCCUGAUGCAGCAACGCCGCGUGCGGGAUGACGGCCUUCGGGUUGUAAACCGCUUUCGCCUGUGACGAAGCGUGAGUGACGGUAAUGGGUAAAGAAGCACCGGCUAACUACGUG
rnacentral:rRNA from 1 species